rnacentral:rRNA from 1 species
UACGGAGGGAGCAAGCGUUACUCGGAAUAACUGGGCGUAAAGGGCGCGUAGGCGAUUUUAUAAGUCUCGUGUGAAAGCCCCAAGCCUAACUUGGGAAGUGCACGAGGUACUGUAGAAUUUGAGUUCCGGAGAGGAAGAUGGAAUUCCAGGUGUAGCGGUGAAAUGCGUAGAUAUCUGGAGGAACACCGGUGGCGAAGGCGGCAUCCUGGACCGGCAUUGACGCUGAGGAGCGAAAGCCAGGGGAGCAAACGGG